UCUGACAUUCCUCCUAGUCGCAACUGGAGGCUCUUUUUUUCUUCUUCUUUACUUGUUUUCUAUUUUGUGCUUUUUUUUUUUUCAAUUUCAUUUCUCCACGUUUUUUCGUUACGCUCACUCUUGUGAGUCUGUUUUUCUCCUGGAUAUUUAAACAAGAAAAAUCAACAACUAAAAGGAUGUGACAUUGUCGAAAGUACGUUGGUAAACGCUCUGUUUUUGUUAUCUAAUCAGUUUUCCUCUUUUUGUUUCGGCUAACCCCACAGGUCCAUCGACAAAGGUUAGAAAAGAAAAACAAGCGAGAAAGUUUUGCACGAUUCUUUCUUGUUGUCUGCAGACACAACAAGCGGCCAGUCGUUUUCCGCUUAACACUUUAGUGGCUGACCUCGUGGGCCAUCAACCUCUUCGAGCUAUUCCAGUUGCCUUUUCAAUUGCUUCUAUGCCUAUGGAAAACGUGUGCCACGGCAGGUCGAGCCCCCUCCUCCGGUUGACAUAGAUACUUACCUGCCAGGUAGACGGGGGCACGUCUAAUAGCUGAGAACAAAGACCAGAAGCAAAUAUAAAAAAAAAAAAAAGACGCCAAGGCAAUGGCUGACAUUUGCGAAGUGGAUACGCACAUCAGCAAACGUUACGAUGUUAAGAAACGGCUCGGCAAAGGCGCGUACGGCAUCGUCUGGAAGGCCAUGGAUAAAAAGACGGGCGGCGUCGUGGCCGUCAAGAAAAUAUUCGAUGCGUUCCGAAAUCAAACAGACGCCCAGCGAACAUUUCGUGAAAUUAUGUUCCUGCAACAUUUUGGCGAUCAUCCUAACAUUAUCCGAUUGCUGGACGUCCAUCGAGCCGACAACGAUAAAGACAUCUACCUCGUAUUCGAGUAUAUGGACACGGACUUGCACAACGUCAUCAAACGUGGUAACAUCCUCAAGGAAGUGCACAAGCAAUACAUUUUGUAUCAGCUGUUUCGGGCCACCAAGUACCUGCAUUCUGGCAACGUGAUUCAUCGUGAUCAAAAGCCUUCGAAUAUCCUGUUGGACGCUGACUGCCGAUGUAAGAUAGCCGAUUUUGGUCUGGCCCGCUCUUUGGUCCAGGACGUCUCUGAAGAUGGCCAAACAGACAAUGUGAUGACCGACUAUGUGGCAACCAGAUGGUAUCGGGCGCCGGAGAUCCUGCUGGCUUCCAAACGGUACACAAAAGGAGUGGACAUGUGGAGUUUAGGAUGUAUUUUAGGAGAAAUCCUAUUGGGCCAGCCGCUCUUUCCUGGCACUUCUACGCUCAAUCAAUUGGAGAAAAUUAUGGCGUCGAUUCCUCCACCUUCCAAAGAAGAUAUACAAUCGCUUAGCUCUGGCUAUGCGUCUACCUUGCUGGAGAAAUCAAUGAUGGUACCCAAACAGCCGCUUCGAACCAUUUUGGCUGCUGCUCCUGUGGACGCCAUCGAUCUCCUGGAAAAGCUGCUAGUCCUCAAUCCGCACAAACGUUUAACGGCUGAACAAGCGCUGGAACAUCCGUACGUCCGUGCGUUCCACAAACCUGAAAGAGAGCCAGCGCUGGAUCACGACGUUGUGCCAACAUUAAGCGAUGCCAUUCAGCUAACGGUGGACGAAUAUCGGACUAAACUUUACGAAGUCAUCGCCUAUCAAAAGCGGCAGGAAAUCCGCGAGCUUUCGCCUUUCAAAUUCAUCCGGGAUUCCAACACGGAUUCAUCUUCGCCCAAGAACUCACCGAAAGAAACGAGUAAAACGAUUCCGAAAACAAAAUCCAGCGUGGAUUCAUCAUCCGAGUCUCGCGUUCAACAAUCGAAGAUGAAGUACAGUAGCAUUCCGACCGAUUCAUCCGGUGGUUCGUCAGGAAACAACCGAUCGGUUGAUAUCCCCCGUCCUCCGGAUCGUAAAUUGGUGAGCAGACAUUCGGAUGAUGUGAUGCGGAGUAGGGAAAAAUCAGCAAAAGUGUUGAGCACCAACAAAUUAUCUUCGCCAUCCACCGCAAUUCCACGAUCGCAUUCUGGUCAUUGCUUAGUCAAAUACCAUCAGACCAACUCGUCAACUGACUCGGAACCCAGCAAAAGUUCUCCGUUAAAGACGAGUUGUUCGGCCAGCCAUUUGCUCGCCACCAGCAUGGAACAAAAUUGCAAUAUUAGUAACACUAGUUGUCGGGCAACUGUUAGCAACGCACAACCUCCACUUCGUUCGGCCUGUGAAUUCCAGCAACGUCGCAAACCAGCACGACAGCGUCGAGAUUUGCUGGCCGCUAUGGGAAAAACCUAUUCAGCCGAAGUUUAGACAAUCCCGUCAUUACACGGACGGUGACUAUCCCACGGGUAAUAAUCCCGUUAUGUACUGCCACUUCGGCGGAAAAGGCGCUUGGCAGCACAACGACGGGCGUCGUCCGUGACAAUAAAAUCCCUCGGCCAGCACCGACGUUUGGCAAGAGGCAAUUCACUUCGUUGAACAACGUCUCUAACUUGACGACCAGUGCUGGAGCAGCUAACGUAGGCGGAAUUACGGGAACGAGCAAGUUCGUGUCGUCGCAUGGCACCAUCACGGCAUCGGCUUUGCAAGAACUGCGUCAAAGUAUCAAAUGAUAACGAACAUAAUUUGAAUCAUUUUUAAAAAGAAAAAGCAAUUUCUAAUGGGUGAUAUCUCUUUCCCUAAAGCUAUUUUUUUUUUGUCGUUACAUUUGCAACACUUGCCAUACGAACAAAAUAACUGUUCUUUGAUACGAGACUCUAGUCUACACUUUCCAGAUACCCCACCCAAUUUCUUUAAGUUUUUUUUUUUAUUUUCUAGAAAUAUCAUAUUUUGGUAUGACCAGGUAUCUCAGGUUCCCUUUAAUAUUUUGCCAGUGAGGAAGACGAAUCGGGCAGAUUUCAUUAUUCCUCAUCGUUAAUGCUUGUCAAGAUGACGCGAAUUGUAUGAUAAAAUAUUAAGGGAUAUGAUUUAGUCGUAAACUAGAUAGCAAUUGCUCACGCAACACGACGGUCGUGUUUGGUCGAUGAUUCAAUCGACUGAUGUAUUUGGAUAAAAACGACAACAAUUUCACUUUUGUGUGUGUGUGGGUGUCUAGUUCCUUUCCCCUGUAUCCACCCUCUCUGUAUACUCCCCUCGUUAUCUACUGCGGAAGUGAUGCGUUUCCAUUUCAGGAAAUAUCCGAACCUUCCGCAUGCGAAAUUACGACGCCCAUCAGAUACGACAUAGGGUGGGGUAGACGCUCAUUCACCCUAUGCUGACAUUGUUCCUUUUGUGUAUUUUGGAGAGAAACAAUGCGAUUUCAAUCACUGGCUGAACGAAAUUUUUCGAAUCGAUUACUUAAACAUUUGCGCAUAUUAAACUUUGUAGUUUCAAUCGUGUAUUGUAUACCAACCCACGAUGGACGUAUUUUUCGAGAGUAACAUUGAGAGAGUCGAGCCAUAAUAUAAUAUCAAAACGA